CUACAUGAAGCUGGAAUCGCUAGUAAUCGCGAAUCAGAAUGUCGCGGUGAAUACGUUCCCGGGUCUUGUACACACCGCCCGUCACACCAUGGGAGUUGACAACGCCCGAAGUCAGUGACCCAACCGAAAGGAAGGAGCUGCCGAAGGCGGGGUUGAUAACUGGGGUGAAGUCGUAACAAGGUAUC
rnacentral:rRNA from 1 species